UUCAAGGCCUCCAUGGCAGAGCCUGCCUGAGGGAUCCAUUCCUUUCAGAGUCCAUCCCCUCAGAGACACCAUGGCAGAGCCCCUCUGAGGGAUCCAUCCCCUCAGGGGCAAGGACAGUGACAUGGCGGAGCCCGCCUGAGGCAGCCUGCCCUCAGAGAUGCCAUGGUGGAGUUCCCCUGGCUGGGAUAUGCAAAGCACACACUCCUUUUCACUUCUGAUCUUCAUGGGCUUAAAACACUGGUAAAUACAAGGUAAGAGCUGGUAUUUGGCUCUGUUCGUACCCACUUCAGAGUUUUUGUACCUUUCUGCAGGGGCCACAGUGUGUCAGAGGAACCCAAUUCCACCCCAAAUUGUUCAGCUUAAGGUCCACGCAUCCACAAAACACUUAUAUAAUUUUAAACACCAUUCUAUCCAUCACUUCCAUGCUUCCACACAAAAGAUUUUUCAAGGGCUGUGUCAUUUUUGCACAAGUAGGAAACCGAGGCCGUGUGAAGCAAAGGUGUUUGCUCCGUGUUAGCAGUGGAGUUGUGGGCAAAGAGCACAAAAACUCGCUCAUGGAUGACUGGACAAGCCAGGCACGCUGGAAAUCAGCUGUUGUUGAGCUUUGUGUGGCUUUUCUCUAUUUUCCUGUCAUAAAUCACAGAUGCCAGGUCAGAUUUGCUGCUUGCUUUUGCUUUGUUCUGAGCCCAGCUGAUGGUGGGGAGAUAUGAGGCUUGUAGGAGACUGUGGGACAGACCAGCAGAGAAGGAGACUGGGGGAAGAACCAGCAGAAAAUCCUCCAGAUCAGAUGUUCAGCUUUCUGCAGAGCCUGGCGUCACCAGCGUGCCCAAAGUGGGGUGGGCUGGGAAAUAAUGGGUGGUGACAUCCCAAACUGCUCUGGCUCCUUGGCUUUGUGUCCCUCCUCCUUCGCCCUGCCCAGGUCAGCUGAUGAUCAGCAAACAGACUCCACGUCCUUUUAUUGCUGCUGUGAGUCACAGAAAGCAAGGCUCAGGCACACCUUUUCCAUGACAACGCUGCUGAAAUCGCUGCCUGAGCCCUUCAGGCCUUGGGUGAGGAUGGCAGGCCGAGGCCACACGUGAGGAGCAGCAGCUUUGUGGCCAUGUGCUGGUGCUCCACGUCAUCCCGGCUGCCCCUGGCUCCCCAGGGAUGCCAGGUUUGGUGAGCCUCAGAGAUUCCACCGAGCUGGAGAAUUUCCACGGUGCAUUUCCAUGACUCACUGUUGGUGCCAGCUGAUUCAUCUGUGUGACACUACGCUGCUUUUUCUCACCGUGGCAUGGAAACAUCCUCUUUUUUUUCCCCUCUGUGUGGAACAAUCCUGACAGCAGCCCUUACAAACCACACAAAAAGGGGAACAGAGACCCAGAAAUCCACUUUUACCCAGCGCUGCCCCUCGCACUGCUCUUUGCACUCUGUUUUCCCAGGAUUUUGCUGUAACUCUGCUCCUUGCAGACACCCACUCUCUAUUAGGCCUUACCUCCAGUGCCUGUUUUCCAAGUUUGGAAGGAGUGAGCGCUGGGAGCAGGCUCUGGAUCUGCUCAGCAAUCCUUGCUCCGUAACCAUAGCAGCUCAGGGUGACUCACGCUGCCACAGGCCCGAGCCCAACUUAGCAGGAGGAAUUUUUUUCCCCCCCCCUGCUCUGUCACCAGCUCGGAGUUUCUCUCCACAGUUGCAUAACUCAGCUGUCACUUGUGUUCCUCUGGUUCUGCCCUGCUGUCACCUGCAGCAUCCCUGGAAGGUCUGCACUGGAGGCUGUUCCCCAGGCAGGGAAUGAAGGCUCUGCACAUGAGCCUUCACAAACCCGUGGAUUUGUGAUCAUACAGCACAAAAAAAACAGAGCAGAAAGUCCCCAAGUCCUCAUGGGUCUGAUCCCGAGUCUCUUGGAGCACAGAGUUCCUAUAAAUCCCUAAAAUUUAUAACAAAGUACUCAGGUAUGCAGCCAUAUAAAAAACCCCUCGUGUUGUCCCAUGGAUGAGGGAAUCCUCUUACAACUGGAGUUCUGCAGGAAAAGGGGAUUUGCCAGCCCCAGAUCCACCACGGUGGCCUGGCAGUGAGGAAAACCCUGGGAUUCCAGCAGAUGGAGCCUGAGCAGGGUGAUGUGUUUGCCUGAUGUGGGAAUGGUGAUUUCUGGCCUCAGAAAUGGCAGAGAAAACUCAGUUUUCUGCAAAGUUUCCCAAUGCCUGCCUUUUCCCUUCAAGCAAGACUCAUUUUCACCUGGGGGGGGGUCUCAAUUUUGAUUAUUCUCUGCUUAUUCCUUCAGAACGAGGAAGACAGAAAAUCUUGGAAGCCAGACAAGCAAAGAGGAAGCAAAAAAAAACCCCGUAAUCAGCAGGAAAUUCAGGAGAGUUUCAGUUCUGAGAGAGCAGCAAAGAGGCAUCAUCCUUAUUUUGUGGGGGAAUUUGGAGCUUGUCUUCUUGCAGCUCUGCUCUCGGGCUGAGAAACCCUGGAUAACAUCAGAUAAUGCUCCCACAGGGCCGCUUGCCAGGAAAACAGCGAUCCCAAAAGGAGAAAAUGAACAAGAAUGAGUGACCAGACUGGGCUGAAUAUCCCAACUAUUUCACCUCCCAAAGCUCAGAGGAGUGACAGGAGGGGAGGUUUAAUUGAUGGCAAGCAUUACAGCUGGUGCUGAAUUCUCCAGCUUGGCCAGGAGAGACUUUUAUAGCAGGGAACACAGGAGCAUUGUGAAAGAUGACUGUGAUUGUUUGGGCAUUUCUGGGUUAGAUUGCAGCAAAAUUGCAGCAAAAAAAAAAAAAAGGCAAUUUUGCUUUAAUCAACUCUCUAGAAAGCCCCGACAUAGUGAAGAGCAGAAGGCAUCAGAAGAUAGGAAAUUGUCAGCCUUGCUGGAGCUGAAAGAUAAGAUUGUACUCCCUCCAGCUACAAUAAGAGAAGAUAAAUUAUCCAUGGGGGCAAUUCAGAGAGAAAAUAAUGUACAAUUAAAGUUGUUUGAAUUACACUUUUAGGGAAGCACGAGCGCAGGAAUGAAACAGCCUCAGUGGAAAGGCUGAAACCUUCCCAUGUGCUUUUAUAAAGCAGAACUGGGGGGAAAAUAAUAAAUUUUGGGGAAGAGUUAUUGUCUUGGUUUGAAAAGACAGGUGUCUGCUAAGGAAGGCAGCAGCCUUCCUUGAAAUAGAAAAUGUGAACCCCCUCCCUCUUUAUUGUUAUAAUUUUGAAAUUAAAGGGCUCUCAGGCAAAGCUAUGUGAGCAGGAAUAACAGUUUUUAUUAGGAAAAUUAAAACCACAAAUGCAAUAGUACAAACAAAACCAAACCACUGCCAGAGUCAGAGCAGUCCCUGUCCCCCUGUGGGUC